rnacentral:rRNA from 1 species
UACGGGGGGGGCAAGCGUUGUUCGGAAUUACUGGGCGUAAAGGGCUCGUAGGCGGCCAACUAAGUCCGACGUGAAAUCCCCAAGCUUAACUUGGGAACUGCGUCGGAUACUGGAUGGCUUGAAUUCGGGAGAGGGAUGCAGAAUUCCAGGUGUAGCGGUGAAAUGCGUAGAUAUCUGGAGGAACACCGGUGGCGAAGGCGGCAUCCUGGACCGACACUGACGCUGAGGCGCGAAAGCUAGGGUAGCAAACGGG